rnacentral:rRNA from 1 species
UCUACCAAAGGCAUAGCUGAGUAGCCAAGUCUGGACGGGAUAAACGCUGAAGGCAUCUAAGCGUGAAGCCCCCCUCAAGAUGAGAUAUCCCCUCCAUAAGGAGAUAAGAUCCCUUAAAGACGAUAAGGUAGAUAGGUUCAAGGUGUAAGUGUGGUAACACACUCAGCUGAUGAAUACUAAUAGAUCGAAGGUUUAUUCU